AUUGAACGCUGGCGGCAGGCCUAACACAUGCAAGUCGAGCGAGCGGCGGACGGGUGAGUAAUGUCUGGGAAACUGCCUGAUGGCGGGGGAUAACUACUGGAAACGGUAGCUAAUACCGCAUACCAUCAGAUGUGCCCAGAUGGGUUUAGCUAGUAGGUGGGGUAACGGCUCACCUAGGCGACGAACCCUAGCUGGUCUGAGAGGAUGACCAGACACACUGGAACUGAGACACGGUCCAGACUCCUAGGGAAGACAGCAGUGGGAAAUAUUGCACAAUGGGCGCAAUCCUGAUGCAGCCAUGCCGCGUGUGUGAAGAGGGCCGUCGGGUUGUAAGGCACUUUCAGCGGGAAGGCGUUACCCGCAGAAGAAGCACCGGCUAACUCCGUGCCAGCAGCCGCGGUAAUAC
rnacentral:rRNA from 1 species